UACGUAGGGUGCAAGCGUUGUCCGGAAUUAUUGGGCGUAAGAGCUCGUAGGCGGUUUGUCGCGUCUGCUGUGAAAACUCGGGGCUUAACCCCGGGCCUGCAGUGGGUACGGGCAGACUAGAGUGCGGUAGGGGAGGACUGGAAUUCCUGGUGUAGCGGUGAAAUGCGCAGAUAUCAGGAGGAACACCGGUGGCGAAGGCGGGUCUCUGGGCCGUAACUGACGCUGAGGAGCGAAAGCGUGGGGAGCGAACAGG
rnacentral:rRNA from 1 species